rnacentral:rRNA from 1 species
GACGAACGCUGGCGGCGUGCCUAAUACAUGCAAGUAGAACGCUGAAGGCGUACUUUGCUUCUCUGCUUGAGUUGCGAACGGGUGAGUAACGCGUAGGUAACCUGCCUGGUAGCGUGGGAUAACUUUUGGAAACGAUAGCUAAUACCGCAUAAUAGUAGAUGUUGCAUGACAUUUGCUUAAAAGGUGCAAUUGCAUCACUACCAGCUGGACCUGCGUUGUAUUUGCUAGUUGGUGGGGUAACGGCUCACCAAGGCGACGAUGCAUAGGCGACCGGAGAGGGUGAUCGGCCAGACUGGGACUGAGACAGGGCCCAGAGUGAUACGGGAGGCAGCAGGAGGGAAACGGGGGCAAUGGACGGAAGACUGAGCAAGAAACGCCGAGGGAGGAAAGAGGGUUGUCGGAUCGUAAAGCACUGUUGUAAGGGAAGAAAGAGUGUGAGAGUGGAAAGAACACACUGUGACGGUAACUGACAAGAAAGGGACGGCUAACUACGUG